rnacentral:rRNA from 1 species
CCUACGGGAGGCAGCAGUGGGGAAUCUUGCGCAAUGGGCGAAAGCCUGACGCAGCCAUGCCGCGUGAAUGAUGAAGGUCUUAGGAUUGUAAAAUUCUUUCACCGGGGACGAUAAUGACGGUACCCGGAGAAGAAGCCCCGGCUAACUUCGUGCCAGCAGCCGCGGUAAUACGAAGGGGGCUAGCGUUGCUCGGAAUUACUGGGCGUAAAGGGAGCGUAGGCGGAUAGUUUAGUCAGAGGUGAAAGCCCAGGGCUCAACCUUGGAAUUGCCUUUGAUACUGGCUAUCUUGAGUACGGAAGAGGUAUGUGGAACUCCGAGUGUAGAGGUGAAAUUCGUAGAUAUUCGGAAGAACACCAGUGGCGAAGGCGACAUACUGGUCCGUUACUGACGCUGAGGCUCGAAAGCGUGGGGAGCAAACAGGAUUAGAUACCCUGGUAGUCCACGCUGUAAACGAUGAGUGCUAGUUGUCGGCAUGCAUGCAUGUCGGUGACGCAGCUAACGCAUUAAGCACUCCGCCUGGGGAGUACGGUCGCAAGAUUAAAACUCAAAAGUAGUAAGUAGGACGCGAGACGUGUCGACGAGACACACGGGAGGGUAGAGG